AUUGAACGCUGGCGGCAGGCCUAACACAUGCAAGUCGAGCGGAUGGAGGGAGCUUGCUCCUGGAUUCAGCGGCGGACGGGUGAGUAAUGCCUAGGAAUCUGCCUGGUAGUGGGGGAUAACGUCCGGAAACGGGCGCUAAUACCGCAUACGUCCUGAGGGAGAAAGUGGGGGAUCUUCGGACCUCACGCUAUCAGAUGAGCCUAGGUUGGAUUAGCUAGUUGGUGGGGUAAAGGCCUACCAAGGCGACGAUCCGUAACUGGUCUGAGAGGAUGAUCAGUCACACUGGAACUGAGACACGGUCCAGACUCCUACGGGAGGCAGCAGUGGGGAAUAUUGGACAAUGGGCGAAAGCCUGAUCCAGCCAUGCCGCGUGUGUGAAGAAGGUCUUCGGAUUGUAAAGCACUUUAAGUUGGGAGGAAGGGCAGUAAGUUAAUACCUUGCUGUUUUGACGUUACCAACAGAAUAAGCACCGGCUAACUUCGUG
rnacentral:rRNA from 1 species